rnacentral:rRNA from 1 species
UACGUAGGGUGCGAGCGUUGUCCGGAAUUACUGGGCGUAAAGAGCUCGUAGGUGGUUUGUCGCGUUGUUCGUGGAAACCUGAGGCUUAACCUUGGGCGUGCGGGCGAUACGGGCAGACUGGAGUACUGCAGGGGAGACUGGAAUUCCUGGUGUAGCGGUGGAAUGCGCAGAUAUCAGGAGGAACACCGGUGGCGAAGGCGGGUCUCUGGGCAGUAACUGACGCUGAGGAGCGAAAGCCAGGGGAGCAAACGGG